UACGUAGGUGGCAAGCGUUAUCCGGAUUUACUGGGUGUAAAGGGCGUGUAGGCGGGACUGCAAGUCAGAUGUGAAAAUUAUGGGCUCAACCCAUAACCUGCAUUUGAAACUGUAGUUCUUGGGUGAUGGAGAGGCAGGCGGAAUUCCGUGUGUAGCGGUGAAAUGCGUAGAUAUACGGAGGAACACCAGUGGCGAAGGCGGCCUGCUGGACAUUAACUGACGCUGAGGCGCGAAAGCGUGGGGAGCAAACAGG
rnacentral:rRNA from 1 species